rnacentral:lncRNA from 1 species
GUUGAUUUUGAUGUUUUCCAUGAAUAAUGAUGAUUAUUUGCAUGUCAGUGCUAUCAGUAUGUCAGAUAGUGAUUGGCACAGAAUAUAAUGUGUAGUUCAAUGAAAGUUAGGAUUUACAUAGCUGUGUUGAGAAGAUAACAGGGAUAUCCUGUCCCAAUGUCGUGACACUCUGCAAAUAUCCUUCUCAUGCUACUGCGUGAUAAUUAAGCUUCAUAUACUUGGAGUCUUGGAGAUCUUAUCAUUUAAACCUUGAAGAAGUAUACACUAAAUGCUAGUCUUCUUCUCAUGCUGCUGGUUGAAGUGUAUGCUUCAUUUUCUUCGAGAUCUGUUUGUUCAACCCUUAAAUAGUAUAUCUCCAUUGGGACAAAACAUAUGCAGUCCUAAUAUACCCUUAGGACUGCAUAUGAUACUUGCAUACGCUUGAAAUAG